AUGCUCCGCAUCGUCAUCCUGUCCUUCCUUCAACUUUUUGUUGGAUUUUCACAAGGGUCAAGAUGUCGACUGCCAUGGACUGGAGUAUGGCUAGAAAAUGGGAAUGAGCUUAAUAUUACACACAAUUCUAUCGGAAAUUUAGGGAAUUGUGUUCAUAAAAGCAGGGAUUUGUAUUUAUUGACUAUUGAUACAUCACGAGGCGAUUGCUAUAGAUGCUUGAUAACGUUUCCGGUUCAUGAAAAUGUGCUCCACUAUAAAACAACUUUCAGCACAAUGCAUAUUCGAUCCAGAAAUGUCACUUGAGAAGUGUUCCCAAUUAAUGAGUGCUGAUACAACAAUGCACACUUUAUUUAGAAAAGAAGCAAUACCAGUACCAUGUCCGAUCGAAGCUCCGAUGAAUUUCACAUAUCAAACAAAUCAAGGGAUCUGUAAUAGUCGAACUUCUCACCUUCAUAGAUGUGCUCAAUAUGAUCGUCUGGCUCUUCACUAUCAGGCGUGCCCAGAGAUUCCAAAUCGAGAAUCUGCGAUUUGGCAAAUGGAAUGUAUCGGAUCGUGGCAAUCAUUUGGACUUCAGUAUUUUGCUGCUCGAGUAGGAUACAGCGCUGGAGAACAGUAUAGAUGCUUUAUUCAUGAUAAAACUGGCAGCAGUGGGAGAAUUGGAGAGUCUGCUGAUGCUGGCUGUCAAGAGUUGACCCAUAUUGGAGCAGCUGCAACGACUCUUCAUUUCCGGCAAGACUCCCCUGUCUACUCUGGGUGUGAAUUUCCAGAAACUCUAUAUAGAGAAAAGUCUAGAAAUUGGGAAUCUAUGUUGCUUGGAACGUAUCAUCGUGUCUAUCAUGGAUCAUGGAUAUCAUCAGUAAAAGGACGAAAUGACACCGUUUGGACUUGUCUUCAAAAAGUCUCCGAAGAGAGUAAUGAACACUACACUUACAGAACUUAUGUAACAAAAGGAUGCAAAGUGGGAUAUCAAUGUGUCAGAGUUCACAUGCGUAAACCACACAUCGCCCACGUGGAAUAUGGAGAAAUCAGCCCUUCCGAAUCCUUUGCAGAUUGUUCUGAUUUUCCCGUUGAAACAAGAGAUACUCUUAUUCUUCAUGGCUCAAAAGAAGCAUGUCCAAUCCGUGGAAAACACUAUUCUAGUACAUGUUCAGACCCGAUUCUGCAAGUUGGAUGUUCAUCAAAAUACUCAAUGAACUUGGUUAGAGACUGUUCUUUGCCGGAUGGAGAUGAGCUUACUUGUGUGGCAAAUUUUAAGCAUGAAGAUAACACCUUCAUUAUAGCUCGGGAUAGUUUAUCAAGACAAUUAUUUUGUAUGACUUAUGUAUCCGAUCGAAUCAAUCUUUUAAGAGUCUAUGAUAGAGUUUCAUGUGAAGAUGUAUCAGUCAACAGUGCUACUAUUUACCUUUCAUUUAAUUUUACUUCUGAUAGCUGCUCCCCGUCGCUUCUCACCGGUUUUCUGUACUCUGCCACCAGUGAAGUGGCAUCAGCCUUUGAUAUUUAUCAGUUUAUCAUUUUAUUGCUUGUCGCUACUUUCUGGAAUAAUUUAUGA
rnacentral:misc_RNA from 1 species